rnacentral:rRNA from 1 species
GAUGAACGCUGGCGGCGUGCUUAACACAUGCAAGUCGAACGGGGGCGGCGGCGAUGAAAUGAUUAGCUUGCUAAGAAUGGAAAAGCGGCCGUCCUAGUGGCGGACGGGUGAGUAACGCGUGGGCAACCUGCCCUGUACAGGGGGAUAACACUUAGAAAUAGGUGCUAAUACCGCAUGAGCGCACAAAGGCGCAUGCCUAUGUGCGGGAAGCCCGCGAGGGCGGUACGGGAUGGGCCCGCGUCUGAUUAGCCAGUUGGCAGGGUAACGGCCUACCAAAGCGACGAUCAGUAGCCGGCCUGAGAGGGUGGACGGCCACAUUGGGACUGAGACACGGCCCAA